rnacentral:tRNA from 1 species
GGGAAGUUGGCUCAGUGGUAGAGCACUUGCCUUGUAUGCAUGAGGCCUGGGUUCCAUUCCUCAGUACCA